rnacentral:rRNA from 1 species
GGGUAAGGGGGGCAGAUAUUUUUUCCUGCCACCGAAUACAUUAGCAUGGGAUAAUGGAAUAGGACCCUGACCUCCUAUUUUCAGUUGGUUUUGUUUACAGCGAGGUUAUAUCAGGGUAAUGAUUAAUAGGGAUAGUUGGGGGCAUUAAUAUUUAAUUGUCAGAGGUGAAAUUCUUGGAUUUAUGAAAGAUUAACUUCUGCGAAAGCGUUUGCCAAGGAUGUUUUCAUUAAUCAAGAACGAAAGUUAGGGGAUCGAAGACGAUCAGAUACCGUCGUAGUCUUAACCAUAAACGAUGCCGACCAGCGAUUAGGAGACGUUGAAUACAAAACACCGCCGUUAAUCCUUUCGGGGGUUAAUGGUUGGUGAAUGACUCCCUAGCAGCUUGUGAGAA